rnacentral:rRNA from 1 species
UACAGAGGUCUCAAGCGUUGUUCGGAUUCAUUGGGCGUAAAGGGUGCGUAGGUGGCGCUGUAAGUCGGGUGUGAAAUUUCGGAGCUUAACUCCGAAACUGCAUUCGAUACUGCGGUGCUUGAGGACUGGAGAGGAGACUGGAAUUCAUGGUGUAGCAGUGAAAUGCGUAGAUAUCUGGAGGAACACCGGUGGCGAAGGCGGCAUCCUGGACCAACACUGACGCUGAGUGAGCGAAAAGCCAGGGGAGCAAACGGG